AAGUUUGAUGGCGACCGGCGGCACGGGUGAGUAACACGUACCCAACCUGCCGAUGACUCGGGGAUAGCCUUCCGAAAGAAAGAUUAAUACCCGAUGGCAUAGUUCUUCCGCAUGGUAGAACUAUUAAAGAAAUUUCGGUCAUCGAUGGGGAUGCGUUCCAUUAGGUUGUUGGCGGGGUAACGGCCCACCAAGCCUUCGAUGGAUAGGGGUUCUGAGAGGAAGGUCCCCCACAUUGGAACUGAGACACGGUCCAAACUCCUACGGGAGGCAGCAUG
rnacentral:rRNA from 1 species